rnacentral:rRNA from 1 species
UUGACAUCCCGGAGACCCUUAGGAAACUAGGGGGUGCUUCCAUCUGGAAGAAUCUGGAGACAGGUGCUGCAUGGCUGUCGUCAGCUCGUGUCGUGAGAUGUUGGGUUAAGUCCCGCAACGAGCGCAACCCUUGCCUUUAGUUGCCAGCAGUUCGGCUGGGCACUCUAAAGGGACUGCCGGUGUUAAACCGGAGGAAGGUGGGGAGUGACGUCAAGUCCUCAUGGCCUUUAUGACCAGGGGCUACACACGUACUACAAUGGCCGAUACAAAGGGCAGCGACACCUGCGGAGGUGAAGCCAAUACCCGUAAAAUCGGUCUCAGUCCGGAUUGGAGUCUGCAACUCGACUCCAUGAAGUUGGAAUCGCUAGUAAUCGUGGAUCAGCAUGCCACGGUGAAUACGGUUCCCGGGCCUU